rnacentral:rRNA from 1 species
UCCUCGGCCUUCAACCUUGUAAACCCGUGGAAGCAAGACGUGCUUCGGCGCUUCGGCGCCGCGUUUAUGCAGCAAAGCGUUUGUCUGAACAAAAGCAAGAAUUAAAACUUUCAACAAAGGAUCUCUUGGCUCUCGCAUUCGAUGAAGAACGCAGCGAAGCGCGAAAUGUAGUGUGAAUCGCAGAACAUUGUGAAUCAUCGAAUCUUUGAACGCACAUUGCGCCUCUCUUUACCGGGAGGCAUGCCUGUCUGAGCGUCAUUUAAACCGUAGCCCCNAAAGGGUCUGUCUUGGGCUUCGCCGGUCGGCGUCGCCUCGAAGCGAUCGGUCUAAAGAGCGGACGAGAUCCACUGGGACUUAUCGCUUUGAGACCUUAAACCUCAGACUUGACCUCAUGAUCAGGUAGGGCUACCC